GAUGAACGCUGGCGGCGUGCCUAAUACAUGCAAGUCGAGCGAACAGACGAGGAGCUUGCUCCUCUGACGUUAGCGGCGGACGGGUGAGUAACACGUGGAUAACCUACCUAUAAGACUGGGAUAACUUCGGGAAACCGGAGCUAAUACCGGAUAAUAUAUUUAACCGCAUGGUUCAAUAGUGAAAGACGGUUUUGCUGUCACUUAUAGAUGUAUCCGCGCCGCAUUAGCUAGUUGGUAAGGUAACGGCUUACCAAGGCAACGAUGCGUAGCCGACCUGAGAGGGUGAUCGGCAACACUGGAACUGAGACACGGUCCAGAAUCCUACGGGAGGCAGCAGUAGGGAAUCUUCCGCAAUGGGCGGAAGCCUGACGGAGCAACGCCGCGUGAGUGAUGAAGGUCUUCGGAUCGUAAAACUCUGUUAUUAGGGAAGAACAAAUGUGUAAGUAACUAUGCACGUAUUGACGGUACCUAAUCAGAAAGCCACGGCUAACUACGUG
rnacentral:rRNA from 1 species